AACGAACGCUAUCGGUAUGCUUAACACAUGCAAGUUGAACGGAUUAUUUAGGGCUUGCUCUAAAUAAUUAGUAGCAAACGGGUGAGUAACACGUGGGAAUCUACCCAUCAGUACGGAAUAACACUUAGAAAUAAAUGCUAAUACCGUAUAUUCUCUUAGGAGGAAAGAUUUAUCGCUGAUGGAUGAGCCCGCGUCAGAUUAGGUAGUUGGUAGGGUAAUGGCCUACCAAGCCAACGAUCUGUAGCUGGUCUGAGAGGAUGAUCAGCCACACUGGGACUGAGACACGGCCCAGACUCCUACGGGAGGCAGCAGUGGGGAAUAUUGGACAAUGGGCGAAAGCCUGAUCCAGCAAUACCGAGUGGGUGAUGAAGGCCUUAGGGUUGUAAAGCUCUUUUGUCAGGGAGCAAAACCUACAGACUAAUACUCUGUGGGGAUGAGAGUACCUGAAGAAUAAGCACCGGCUAACUACGUGCCAGCAGCCGCGGUAAGG
rnacentral:rRNA from 1 species